ACAUCUGCUGCAGGUGUAAGUGAUCUGUCCAUCUUC
rnacentral:sRNA from 1 species